AAAAUUCUAGAUUUUUAUUCACAUGAAGACUUGAAAGACUUAAGUGUAACUGUAUACUGAUUGAUGUUUUAUUCUUAGGCUGCCGCAGGCCAGAUUCUUAUUUUCUAAAGAAAAUUUUGCAUAGUACGUAUACUAAUUUGUCUGUAGUGUACAAGCAAAUGUAGUACUUACUGAAUAGAAAUUCUGACAGACCUACAUUGACCUAAAUGAAGUUUUUAAAAAACCUGGGCUAUUUGUCCUGUACCUAAGUGUAAAUCUUAUAUAUACAAUAUAUACCCUUAUUUUAUUCUGUAUGCUUCAUGUUUAAGUUCUUUAAUAUGUAUAUGAAUAAAAGGAG
rnacentral:lncRNA from 1 species